AUGCAGAAUAAUAUCUAAUUGAAUUCUCAUUCUCAGGAUGAAGUACAACUGUCCAAGUAUGGUACUACCGUACUAUGUGUCACAUCUUAAUAUAUUUAUUAAUGUAAUUUAAAAUUUUAAAGUCAUUUCUAUUUUAUAUACAAUUAAUAGUUGAGAAUCUUUAAAUGAUGAUUUAGUGAAUUUUUACUCAACUUAUAUUACUCUUAUGAGAUUUUAAAAUUGAUAAUUUUAUUAGAUGAUAUGAGAUAUUUAAAAUAGAUAAUGUGUUAAACUUAAAGCUCGAAAAUAAAUGUUUUUUUUCCUAGUGCUUUGUGAUUAUGAAAACUGAGUUUCUCUUUUCUCCUUUUUUUUCCGGAUGAACAAAACCAAUAUUAAAGAAAGAAAACAUGACCAACCCCAUGAAGGAAAUUCUUCCAUGUAACAGACUAACAGUAUUAUUUAAUUCCGCAGCUAAAAUUAUUGAUUUAUUUAUCUAUAAGUACAUCCACUAUACAAAAGUCGGAUGAAGCAUCUUUCUCUCACUACAUAUGAUUAUCAGCAUCAUUACAAUGCUAUUACCUCCCGACAAGUUACGCUGACACAUACAACUGCUGAAACACUCAAGCUACAAGUACAAAUUGAUUCCAACUACGAGGCCAGGGGGCCAACUACACAACAUCUAAGUUACUGCACAGAAUUUAAUACAUUCUGGUAAAUCCUACUUUCCUUAGAUUCCGCAGUCGGCACGAAACUGUCGUCUCUGCGCAACUUGCAGGAAGGAAUGUUGAGUGGAAAACAUCACAAGUAAAACAGUUACAUGAGAGUAGUUGCAGACUUUGCAGACCAACAUUCCUACAAAGGCAGAGAAUUUUAUCGAUUGAGGCAAAGUGGAAGCUUUUAAAUUAACCCUGCACCAAAUAGUAACAUGCCUUCGGUCAUGCUACGAAACUUCAGCACGAUGGCAACUCUGCAUGUUAGCAA